AACGAACGCUGGCGGCGUGUUUAAGACAUGCAAGUCGAACGGGUUGAAGUUGUAGCAAUACCGCUUCAACCAGUGGCGCACGGGUGCGUAACACGUGCGUUACAUGCCCUGCAGUGGGGAAUAGCCCGCCGAAAGGCGGAUUAAUACCCCAUGGUCCCGCAAGGGUAAAGGUGGCGAAAGCUGCCGCUGCAGGAUUGGCUCGCGGCCUAUCAGCUAGUUGGCGGGGUAACGGCCCACCAAGGCGACGACGGGUACCUGGUCUGAGAGGAUGAUCAGGCACACUGGAACUGAGAUACGGUCCAGACACCUACGGGUGGCAGCAGUCGAGAAUAAUUCACAAUGGGCGAAAGCCUGAUGGUGCAACGCCGCGUGGAGGAUGAAGGUCUUCGGAUUGUAAACUCCUGUCAUCGGGGAGUAAGACCUGGGCGUGAAUAGCGCACAGGGUUGAUAGUACCCGAAGAGGAUGGGACGGCUAACUUCGUGCCAGCCGCCGCGGUAAUAC
rnacentral:rRNA from 1 species